UUCCUUAUUGGCUUUAGAAUUGGUGUUUUUUUUCUUUUUAGAUAAGAAUUGGGCUAAUGACGAUUUGGAGCAAACUAAACUGGCUGCCAGGUUCCUAAAAAGGAGCUACAUAUUUCACAGAAAUAAUGAAAUCUGUGAUAAGCCUACAGUGGCCAGCAGCGAUCUGAAACCAAGAAUCAGGAGAAGGACAUGGAGUAAAAAUGUCUGCUGAAUCCGAGGGCCUUUUACCCUGGACUAGAAAACACAUACCUGGAGUUUCACAGAAAGACCGUGACGUUCAAACAGAG